GAAACUCUCAAUGAUAAAGGUAAAGAGAUCGAGCCUCGUCUUCAUCGGUUAGAAAAACAGAAAAUGAAAGCAACUACGCUCAACUGCUUUUGUUGUCUUCAGUAUAAAUAGAACAUUGUAGUUACUUCUCUAAAAUUAAUAAUGUCUGAUAAUUAAACCCAAUAUUCAUUGAAUAAACAAUAGUAAAAACAUAUAUUCAGAUGCGAUGAAGCCCCAAGCAGUUAGGUUGCAGGUCCUCAAAAAGAAGGUGGAUGUCUUGGCUAUCGUCUCCCUUCCGUCUCUUACUCUGUAGUACUCGCUUGGUUUGCCCAAUGGAUCAAGUUAAAAUGUUAAAAAAUAAGCAAAAGUAGCAGCUCUCUGCCUGUGAACUCCAGUAUCAACUGCCAUCCACCUUGCCUGCAGUCUGCGGCUCGGAGCUGCACUCAACUACCACCUUCUCCAAAAUUUUCACUAUUUAUUUUUCUAAAUGUUAUUUAUCUCUUCUUUUUUGUUCUUUAGUUUAGUUCAUACAAGACUUCUCAGAUUACCCUUCUUAUUUUGCUCUAGGCUUUAAAUAAAUGUUGUGAUUGGCGACCUUUUAUUCCUUGGACGACAAUAUGGGUGAUGAUUUUUCCAACGAUGUCUUUCGCAGGUAUGAUCGCUUUGUCAAUACAGCAGAGGUCCUUCGCAGGUAUGAUCGCUUUGUCAAUACAGCAAAGGUCCUAGAGCGGGUCACAACUAUAGUCUCAUAUAUUGUUUAUUGAGGAUGCCAUCGCCUUGGUCCUAGAGCGGGUCACAACUAUAGUCUGUAAGCAGUUCUUUUAUCCACAAACAAGUUGGUACUAGAUGGCUUAAAGUAUAGUUUGUAAUUUAUUAAAACUAUUACAUGAAUAUUUUGGCUUUGCUUCUAUGUAGAUUUCUCACACAUGUUCAGGAAAAAAUGUAUAAUGAUAAAAAAAAUUCCAAAUACGUGUCAUUGAUCAUAUUUUAGUCUAGAAAGACUGUACCGUAUGUCAUGCAUGUUCUACCAUAUCGACUUUCUACUUCAAGCACACGAUGCUUCUUCGACAGCCAUGAAUGUAAUUUAUCUUGGCGAGUGUUCUCCGGAUAAGACCAUCCAUUGGACUUCCAAAAGCAACAUGAAGGACCGAUUGGAAAAACAAGACGCAACGGUGUAAACAACGCGCGCAGGCGCGCGUUAUACACUAGUUUCGUAACAAAUUUCAACUGAAUCCACCAAUUUCUUUUGGUCAGAGUCUGUGGCUUCAGGCAUAUAAAAUCAUUUUGUUAUUGUGCAUGAUAAGAUCAUUUUGUUUAAUUGGAACAUGGAGAACCACUCGGAAAAACAGUACAACUAUGAGGGUGGUACGUAAUGCUCUUAUCUAAUUAAUUAGGGAAGCUAAUGUGUGAGAAUCUUAUCCGAAAGGGGCAAGAGGGGAAGUGUUGCGCAAGUAUAGUGUUGGCUAGAAUUGUUGUGAUGGCAUUUCAGACUGUGGAAAAUACCUAUACCCUUGUAAGUGCAAUCAAGCCCUAAUUGUGGGUUUUGAUGAUAAUGAUCAUACAAUUAGAUGACUAAUAUGUUUCUAAGCAUUGUGACAAAAAAGCACCAAAAAGGGAGAAAACUCAUGACAAUGGAGGG
rnacentral:lncRNA from 1 species